GACGAACUUUGGCGGCGUGCUUAACACAUGCAAGUCGAACGGAAAGGCCCUGCUUUUGUGGGGUGCUCGAGUGGCGAACGGGUGAGUAACACGUGAGUAACCUGCCCUUGACUUUGGGAUAACUUCAGGAAACUGGGGCUAAUACCGGAUAGGAGCUCCUGCUGCAUGGUGGGGGUUGGAAAGUUUCGGCGGUUGGGGAUGGACUCGCGGCUUAUCAGCUUGUUGGUGGGGUAGUGGCUUACCAAGGCUUUGACGGGUAGCCGGCCUGAGAGGGUGACCGGCCACAUUGGGACUGAGAUACGGCCCAGACUCCUACGGGAGGCAGCAGUGGGGAAUAUUGCACAAUGGGCGGAAGCCUGAUGCAGCAACGCCGCGUGCGGGAUGACGGCCUUCGGGUUGUAAACCGCUUUCGCCUGUGACGAAGCGUGAGUGACGGUAAUGGGUAAAGAAGCACCGGCUAACUACGUGCCAGCAGCCGCGGUGAUACGUAGGGUGCGAGCGUUGUCCGGAUUUAUUGGGCGUAAAGGGCUCGUAGGUGGUUGAUCGCGUCGGAAGUGUAAUCUUGGGGCUUAACCCUGAGCGUGCUUUCGAUACGGGUUGACUUGAGGAAGGUAGGGGAGAAUGGAAUUCCUGGUGGAGCGGUGGAAUGCGCAGAUAUCAGGAGGAACACCAGUGGCGAAGGCGGUUCUCUGGGCCUUUCCUGACGCUGAGGAGCGAAAGCGUGGGGAGCGAACAGGCUUAGAUACCCUGGUAGUCCACGCUGUAAACGGUGGGUACUAGGUGUGGGGUCCAUUCCACGGGUUCCGUGCCGUAGCUAACGCUUUAAGUACCCCGCCUGGGGGGUACGGCCGCAAGGCUAAAACUCAAAGGAAUUGACGGGGCCCCGCACAAGCGGCGGAGCAUGCGGAUUAAUUCGAUGCAACGCGUAGAACCUUACCUGGGUUUGACAUGGAUCGGGAGUGCUCAGAGAUGGGUGUGCCUCUUUUGGGGUCGGUUCACAGGUGGUGCAUGCCUGUCGUCAGCUCGUGUCGUGAGAUGUUGGGUUAAGUCCCGCAACGAGCGCAACCCUUGUUCACUGUUGCCAGCACGUUAUGGUGGGGACUCAGUGGAGACCGCCGGGGUCAACUCGGAGGAAGGUGGGGAUGACGUCAAGUCCUCAUGCCCCUUAUGUCCAGGGCUUCACGCAUGCUACAAUGGCUGGUACAGAGAGUGGCGAGCCUGUGAGGGUGAGCGAAUCUCGGAAAGCCGGUCUCAGUUCGGAUUGGGGUCUGCAACUCGACCUCAUGAAGUCGGAGUCGCUAGUAAUCGCAGAUCAGCAACGCUGCGGUGAAUACGUUCCCGGGGCU
rnacentral:rRNA from 1 species